CUCUGAAGCAGCGUCGCACUUCUCCCAGAGAGGUGCUGGUGGUGUCCAACACCUCCAUCUUUCUCCCGUGCCCGGUGCGCUCCUUCCACGCUACGUACCGCUGGGAGAAAGACAACUGUGUCAAGAACUAUCCCUGCCUCUUCUCCGGGGAUUUCUGCGUGCUGGGUCCGGCUGUCAGAACGCCCCUGAAGGAUGGCGUCUUCCGCUGCAUGGCCACCGAAGACGGAUUCAAGGUGGAGGUCAUCUCCUUCAGGCUGGUGAACGACGGCAGGCUCCUGGCCGCCUCCCUGGCCUCCACCUUGGGCCCGUCGCUCCUGCUAGCCAUGGCUACCCUGUGGCUCCAUUAACUGCAGCUACCGCUAAUGCUAACCCCUCAUCCUUACUGGCUCCCAAUGACAGGAAUACAAGGAGCCUCUGUUAGGAGGUUAGGUUCGCAGAGCAUUGAAGUACAUGGUUGUGUUGGACCGUGAAAAUCCUUUUUCCAUAUCAAUUUAUAGAGAAAGAUUCCAGAAAAGUCUGUAUUUUUUGCAUAAAGCAACAUAUCAGCAGCUGUUUUAAUAAGAUCCGAACUGGGAAACACAUUCAUUAUCAUAGUAAAGUAACUAGAAGUUCAGAAAUGGACAUAUCUUGCAAGUUCGAUCAACCGUAGUUAGGUGCUUUGCGAACCUUUCCUCUCUGACUGAAAACAUAUCGUAUGAGUUGGGCAAAAACACCAAUACCAGGCCAAUUAUUUUUACCAUUUCUCAACUUUAUUUGAAAUCGACUUGACUGUGCUUAUUUGUGAAUAUAUAAACCUUUAAUACCGCUCUUAAAUCUUAUCAUUCAUCUUGUUAGACUUCAUUGGUAUAGCUCAUUAGUACGUAGAAAAAUGUCUGGUAUUGAGAUUUGAAAAGCCUUAACACUUCUUGGACAUUAACUCCUAAGCACAAUUUUGAGGCAGACUUGGCGCUAUAUGAUUAUUGCGGCUGAGUCGAACAACAUCGCUGGGAGGAAGUGUCAGCUUUUUGACAGGAAGUAGAAAGAUGGGCAAAAGCUCAUUCUCGGAUCAUCACUGUGUCUCAGCACCUCCUUCUCAGACGAGGCAGUACCUCUCAUCUUUUUAUUCGAUGGUAUCAGACAUCGUCAUUAAGCCUUGUUCGCAGCUUUGCCCAUUUUUAAUUAAACACGACCCGGGGAGAGGGACAAAUAGCUAACUGACGUCCAAUAUCUGUCAACCCGACAAUUCAUAAAGAUGUGAACAAGGUUUUGUGCUAUAGCAAUUUCAAUAAACACACAUUAACAUAAACAUAAGGGCAGAUGAAGCUAAAAGGAACUGCAUAUUAAGCUUGUAUUUUAUAGUUUGCUUGGAGAAAAAAAGCUUGUACUUAGAUACGUGAAGUGUGUUCUGUAUUUUAUUGCUCUGCAGAUGCUGAUUUCUACCAUUGCUGCCUACGUAAGUGACUCUUUGUCUUGAUUGUUUGGGUUUAAAUGCCAUAGUUAGAACGUGAAGUGUAACCACCGACUGCUUUGCCUCUUUCCGCAGGGACAUCAGUGCAAAUAGACAGGAACAUGGUUAUUUUUGGUAAUACUUGUAUCUCUAUGCUGUGAAACAAAAGGCUCGACAGACUCCAACAAGUUGCUUCCCUGAUGAACAGCAGCAUCCACAACCAGCGGCGACAACGAUAGCUAGCAUCACGCUACCUCUCCUUUAAUAACUCAAACUUCAUUAAGACCAAGAAGACAGUUGACGCUGAGUGUUUAGAAGAAAUAAGAUGUGAGUUAAGUAGCCCUAAAAUCCUAAAAAGUAAACGUUGAUUGAAUACUGAUCAGCUGACUGAAGAAGUAGGCUUCAGCGGUGAUGAAUUAUGCAGCGGAUUAGCAUGUUCUCCAGAGCUUUGAGAAUUAUCAUUCAGUAGUGUUACAUAAAUCUGGCCGUGCCGAGCCUUCCUCAGUGGCAGACAUGUCAUUAAUAGCUAAUUAGACAAUGGAGCCUGCUCGCCAUGCACCUUAUUAAAGAAUUGAUGUUACACCGUCGAGCAGCGGGCAUGUUCUCAGCUGUGAAAACCUCGAGGUGGUGUCGUGAUUCUCUCUCAGCUCGGUUGUGUGUUGCUGCUCUGGGAUCUGCUCGCUUUCUGUAAUGCACUGAAACUGGCUUCUCACUGUGCCAAUAAAAGACAAAAAGAAAAAACAAAGCUAUGUUGAGCCACCGUAUCCUCCCGACGUCGCUUCUUCUGUUCAUUUGCUUUAUCCCUCGCUCCUUACCUGCCGUUUUAUCUUUUCCCCCAAGGUGACUCUGUGUAUGUGUCGGUCCUUUCUUAAGCCAGACACACAAACCUUCUGUAGGUGCAACAUGCAUAUUAAUCAUCUUUGUGUCACCACCGGGGAGGGAAAAUAUCAACAGCCAACGGCCACGAGCUCGUAAACAUUUAGUAGAGGCUGUUAGAGAGGCUGUUAGACACCUUUGGCAGUAAAACAACUCAAGAUGCAUAGACAUGCUCAUUACAUAGUCCUGUUAAACCUCCUUUAUCUGUUAAAAUAACUGCUGAGUAAGUGUCGUUGUGAUUCAAACAGCGAACAGCUGUUCCACCCACUGGGACCCAGAAUCCCUGAUCUCUGAGGAUUUUAGCCGAGGAUCCCCUCAGCCUACAACCUGCCAUAAACACACACACCUUCCAGAGUUGGUCCAAACACCAACACAUUUGACCUUAUGUCAAAUAAAACACACACACACCCAUCCACAGAUCCUUAGGCCCUUGCAAUUAUUCUCAACCGAGAACCCAAAACCCCAUUCCAACACAAAAACCUAACCCUCACCCUAACUCUCAACCUCACCCUAACCUCACCCUAACUCUCACCCUAACCAGCCUAUAGCUGCAUUCACAUGAGACGGGGUAAAUGGCUCUGCGCUGUUGUUGUUGCCGUUGUGUUUUGAAUGGAGAAAGCAAAGCAGCCUGACUUUCGUAAACCUUCAGCGCUGUGCACGGCUCGAGUUCAUAUUACUCCAACUUUGACAUAGUUACCGCUGACCUUACGACGCGCAACCACUCAGACGACAGCUUUGUCAACAACCCAAGUUAGCAGGGGACGUAACUAUAGAAACAAAACUUAUAUGGCUGUUUUCAUAGCAUGGCGCCAAACCUAGCGGUGAGCAAAUCACGUAUAAUGGGAAUGCAGCUCAACCCUAAACAUAAAUGUGUUCUUUACUUCACCCUAACUACGUACUUUUAGUUGCCUAAACGUAAGUACACAUCAUUUUGCAGAUGCAUAUUGUACAAAAGAGCAUGUCUAUGUUAUUGUUGGUUGCAGGGUUUGUUUACAGAUAGUUGUUGCUGUGCAGAGCUGAUUGCAUUUCUUCGUGAGGAGCGGCGCUGCAGGCAGGCAGGUGAAAUCAGGCUUUCAUCAUCCCGCUCUUUCCUAAGUCAUCACGCUCAACACCACAAGGCUUUGCUUCAGUAUCAACACUUUUCCAGCUAAUGCGUGGAAUUAAGAUUUAUAGCAUUUACAGCAUUUACCAACAGUUGCCGGUUUUUUCAAAUCUCCCCGUUCAAGUCCUUGCUUUGAUACGGAUAUUCUCAAACUCGUUUUUUAUCGGAAUCCGGUUAUCGCUCCUUCGCAACCGCCAUCGUCAGCCAGUCCGAUAAAAGCUAAUCUCCUUCAAAGCAAGCUCUUGAUUUGCCUUCAGGAAACCAAUUUAAUGGAUCAAGCUAUCUGCUGUAAACGAAUCAACGUCGAGUGAAGCGGGUCGCUGUUUUGUUUGCUCUGGGGUUUUUGAGUGUCGAGUACUGUACAUGAUGUGUGCCCGCAAUUAUGUGUCUUGAUAUAUCUUAUUUUAAAGGAACAUGCCAAACUCUAUUAUU